rnacentral:lncRNA from 1 species
GUAGCGCCUCCGCUGAGGGACCCGGCGGGAACAAACCGCCGCCGCGGCGGGAGCUGGGCUCGAGUGGCCGGAGGCGGGCCCUUGUCUUCGCCGCCGCUCCUGCACCCUGUGCUCCCUGAAGCCGCCGCCUUCAGAACGCUCAGCCCCUGGAUGUUAAGGCUCACUCGGGCGCCAGCCGCAGCCAGGGAAGUGGCGGCGGUCCCCACCCGUCCUCUCCCCAAGGCGGCGCCCGGGCCACCGGGCCGAAGCGCAGUGGGAGCGCGAGGCUGAGACGCCGGGACCCACGCCGCCCCAGCGCGGCCCGCCGGCGCCCACCCGAGCCCGCACGGCUUCCAGCCCGAGGGGAGACGCAUUCGAGUGAUCACCAGGAGCGAACUUGGCGCCCGCAGCCUUGGGCCUGGGAGAGGUGAGAUUGCGGCGGCGCCCUCUCCUCCCUCCGCUGUCGGGCCCGCCACCCCUCUCCGCGCGGAGAGGCCGGGCAGAGCGCCGGCCGCUGUGGCCGCGUUCCCGGGGCGCGGGCCGGUCUACUGCUCCGAGUUUGCCUGUUCUCCGACCCUCUGGAUCUCGGCAUCCGUUUGUCUCAGUCUCUGUGACUAUCUCACUCUCCGUGAGUCUCUGUGGAAACGGCAUUUGUCUGGAUGUCUGUUCAUGGGUCUGGGAAUCCGCUUAAUUUCUCCCUCCCCUCUCCCUGGCCCCAGUUGCCCUGAGGACUGGACACCCCCCACCUUCCUGGCUCCCAGGGUUCUGGGCCCCACCGACAGGCGGCAGGACCUCCUCCGCCCCCUGCCCGACACCCCCUCAGUGAACCCUGACCUCCACCAAGUGUUGCCUUCAUCUCUCAAAAGUCUUGUGCAACUAAGGUUGGCCCUGUGCCUUGUUUCUCGCUAGCCGGGUUCCUGCCCAUCCUAUUAGACCUCUUUCUCCCCCGGCCUCCCUCCAGGACCCAGAAACAAGCAGCUUCAACACAGAUUGGGCCCAUUUCAGCCUCUGGGGCACGGAAGGGGAGAUGGGCGCUGGACGUGAGCAGGAACUGAGCGGAUGCCUGGGCUGCUGCCCCGACAGCGCCGCACAGUGGCUAAAGCUCGGGCGUGCGAGGCCGGAAUCCCAGCUGCCUCCGCUGUAGCAAGGCUGUGUGACCCUCAUUAGGUGACUUCCCCGCUUCGGAGCCUCAGUUUCCUGGUCUGCAUAGUAGUUAAGAGCAGCGACCUUAAGUCAGGCUCCUGGGGUUCCAAUCCUGCCUUCACUACUUACCCUAUCUGUCACCUUGGGCAAGGUUCUUUGCGCUUUGUUUCUGCCUUUGUAAAAAUGAGGCUAGUAACACCUACCUCAGAACUGAUGUAUAAGUGUAGCCAUAUUCUAGGCCAUUUAGGAAAGGGUACUGAGAACACUUUGCAGUUUCAUCUAACAGCAGCCUCCAAUCUACGGGAUAGCCUGGUGUUAAUCCAACUCUCCCAUUCCACAGAUGGAGCUACAGAGGCCCAGGAUAGGGAGAAAGAACUCACCCAGGCUCCUGCAAAGAAAUAGAACAGAGUUGGGUUGCAACCCUUUUCACAGAAUCCUCAAAAUAGAGUUCUUCAUCCCCCCAAGGUAAGGGCAGAAAAAAAUGGAAGGCAGGUCUGACUACUCAUGUCCUUUGAGAGGAAGUCGCCUGGGCCCCCUCUGGGACCUCUGACCAAGGGGAUCCAUUUAAUGUGCUGUUCCAGCAUAAACUGUCAUUGGAAAAAAGAGAAAUCUCGUCCUCAAACCAUGGACAGCAAAUUGGACAGGGACUAGUAGCCCUGGAAUUGGAAUUUCCUGGGUGACAGACUGUCCGGGGAAAAAGGUCUUGGAGAGAAGCUUCUUGCAUGAGUCCAAGGAAACUCACAUACCUAGGGUUGCUAGAUUUAGCAGAUUUAUUUUAUCUGGCAACCCUACACAUACCUCAAGCUUGCUCUUGACUACAUGGAUAUCUGUCUCACACUCCCAGAACCCCACUCACAGAUACCCCACACCAUGGACCACACACCAACUCCAACCCAGCUCAACUCUGCUAGUAUCUAAACAAGUGGAGAGAAAAACAGUGUUGGCGUCAUCCUACUCCAUUUCACCUUCUGAAUGUCCUCAUUUCUUUUUUUUCUUUUCUUUUUUUUUUUUUUUUUUUUUUUUGACUGAGUUUCGCUCUUGUUGCCCCCCUGCUGGAGUAAAAUGGCCUGAUCUCAGCAGCUCACCACAACCUCAGCCUCCCAGGUUCAAAUGAUUCUCCUGCCUCAGCCUCCCAAAUAGCUGGGAUUACAGGCAGGCACCAACAUGCCCGGCUAAUUUUGUGUUUUUAGUAGAGAGGAGGUUUCUCCAUGUUGGUCAGGCUGGUCUCAAACUCCCUACCUCAGGUGAUCCACCCGCCUCGGCCUCCCAAAGUGCUGGGACUACAGGCGUGAGCCACCCUGCCCGGCCUGAAUGUCCUCGUUUCUAAAACAGCAAAUGGGAACCAGUAGCUUCCUUCCUUGCCAGCACUCCCCUGGCUCCCCAGGCUUUGGUCAGGGUGAGACUAGCCAGGGCACUUGCUGCCCAAAUUUCCUGCUUCAGAGAAGUUCUACCAAGCAGCUACAGCAGCCAGCCCUUGCCUCUGCCUGGCCUUGCUGCACGUUCACUGCUACUGAGACCUACACUGGGGAAGGGGAGUACAGAAUCCCCAGCUUCUGCUCUGCAGGGUUGGGGAGGGAGAAUCCAGACCCUUCACAUACAUACUUUUUACAGGAGCGGAAACUGAGGUCCAGGAGAUCAUGUUACUUGUCAGGCUUUUGAGGGGCGCUAAGCUGGGUUGGACCUACGUGUCCGGGUUCCUAGCCCAGAACCCCUCUGUUUAUCCAAAUAGCUGUUUCUCUAACCGAGCUCCUCUCUGUAUAGAGGGAUUUCUAGUAGCCUCUCCUCCCUUCCAAGGUUCUGGGCCAGUUUGUUUUCAACAGUGUCAGGAGUAAGUGCACUGGGGACUGGGAGAAGGGCCACCGCGGGAUUCGGAAUUUAUUUCGUUUUCUUUGCUUCUUCUGUGACCCUUACUUCUUUCGCCUACCGGCUCAGCCUGUUCGGCGUCUUGCAGCAGUGCCUGCGAUCCCGCGUGAGUCCGUCGCUCCCUCCGCGAAAACCUGGACUCUUUCCCAGAAGCCUUGGGCUCCAGCACCAUGCCUGCUGCAGCCGCCAAAGAGCGGGAAGCCACAGGCUCUGCGGGUCUUGGUUACAGCGUCUCUGGUCGUGCCGGGCCUCCUUCUGCAUCUGUUCCACGGCCCGGCCAUCUCCCUCGUGCAGCCCAGAACAAUUGGGAGGAAGCGUUGGCGGGCGGAGGGGGAUGCCUGUUGGGCUUUUCCACUAGUUACUGAGUGUUUUUUGCGAAGAGUACGUUGCUAUCAGUGGCGUCCGGGUCGUCUCUCCCUCUCUUCCUUUUGGUCCCCAUAAAUGAGCUGUUCUCGGCUCUGGGAAAGAAAAGCCCUCCAGCGAUUAUGCGGAUCUAAUUAAGUCAAUCAGGAAACUGCCGGAGAGCGGCACUGGCUUGAAGCGGAGUUUGUCCUGAGGCACAGCGGAACGAUUGCACGCGGCCCUUUUCAGCGGUUCGAGCUCGGCCAGCGCCGGGCUGCAAACGGAAGCCUGAGCUGGGCUUGGGGAACUACGCCCGCAGAUUUCUCUAAUUUUAUUCACAAAACUGGACACCCUCAGGGAAAGCGGCAAAGCCGGCGCGAGCCUCCUUCCCACUCUGGACCUAGCUGCAGCUCCAAAGCGAGAUAGCUGUCUAGCCUCAGCCGGUACAGCUCCCGGCCCCUUUCUCCACCCGGAUCUUCGGCUGCUCAGAAGCGAUCAGCUCCCUUAGCCCAGGUGGGAGGCGGGAGACUCCAGAUCCUGUGACCCGCGGAGGCAGACCUCAGACAUGUUCCCCAUGCACAGAAAUGACUGGGGCUCCAGUGUGUGCACCUUCAACUCUGAAGCCCACCUGCCCACUUCAGGCGCUGGCGCGGAGAUAACCACCACGCGUCUGCCGGGCAAAGUUCGAGAGUGAAUUUACAUCUUCUCUUUCCGCUACUCCUGGCCACUGUCCCCUCCCAGCCCCAUCUCCCCCGCCCCCAACCCUGGACUAUGUGGUAGGGGACUCGCUUAAGCACCCAAGUACUGCGCGGUUGUUGAGACCAAGGCGAGCUGCGGAGCCUGUGGGCUGUUGUUCGUGGGAAGAGGGUUGCGACCUCAGGAGAGACCGAAAACAGCGCCACUUGAAACCCGCCGGUCCUGAAGAUCACAGAGUUCCCGGAGUGGUAGGGAAGGCUCCACGCUCUUGAGAGCAGAGGCGGCCAGGGGCAGUGGGGGACGCUUCCAGGUAUGUGGGAAGGAGAACUUCAUGUCUAAGUGCGCUCUUGUGGGUUUCUCGGCCAGCUGGGCCGAGCCUCUCUUUCUCUGUCCUCAUGUGUCUGUCCUCUGGACAACAGUGGCUCUGUAUGGCGGAUUGCGACCCUGAGUGACGGGCGCCUGUCUUGCAUCCUGUGUCCUGUGUCCUCCCCUCCAGACCUCAUGCUUGGUGUCCACAGAGUGGACCCAGGACUGCCUGGAAGGCUUAUCAUCCAGGCCCGCGACUUCCCCCCAGAGUCUGAAGCCUUGCGACCUGGUCGGGGACGACAAACCUGCUCGGGGUCAACAGCGAGACCCUAGUGGGGAAUGAGGAUGGGUGAGGGUGCGCCUGGGUUGAGGGUCUGUGACUGUAGCAUGGAAAAGGAGUUCAUGCAGGGAUCGCACUGAGGGACAGCCAAGAAUACUCCAGCGGCAGCCUCCCUCCUACCAAUUACACGCCGCCUGCUGGCACAGUGGCACCUCGGGAACAGGACGCCCUUCCGGGCCCUGAAUUGGGGCAGCGCAGGAGGGAGGGUGCAGAGCCAUAGCGACCUGUGUGUACCAUAGACAUGCACAUGCGCUCACCUUCACGUGUAACCCUUCUGAGUCCCAGACAGGGUAACUGGCGAGGCCGUAAGUACCCUCGUGGGGGCGGAAAUAUUGCCGCGUCCCUGAGUCCUCUGGGCAGAUGCAGAGCCGCGUAAGCCUCAUAGAAGCAAAGCCAGGGGAACAGUGGGAGCUCUGGCCUCGCGGUGCGGACGCUAGUAAUGGAUUCCUGGGGAACAGCGACCUCUGGAGGAGCCUCUCAUCCACACAGAGUCAGGAACUAAAGGACUGGUUCUGAGACAAAGCACCCUUUCCUCACCCUACUCCCAUUCCACCCGCUUGGAAAAGUUAUCCAGAGACUUUUAACCUCCGGACUCCACUCUUCGCUUAUGUUUGCUUUUUUUUCCAACCUGUACCCACGCUUCAAAAUCCCUGCUCCAGUCCUGCCUCUUCCAGAAAGAAGCCUUCUGGCCAGCCCAGUUCCUCUUCCCCUCUUCCUGUUCUGAGCUCAUUCUCAGGCCACACUGCACAGCCAACCUGCUUCCUGCCUGCUCUUCUCCAAAAAGACUGUGAAUCCACUCCACCCACGCCUUGUGUUGCAUGCUGGGCAUGCCGUUCCCUGCCCCAACCCACCCCACCCCCCAGUGAAUAAAGACUGAAGUUAUUCAUUCCAAAAUUGGACUGUUGAUUUUUCAAAGUUAAUUUCACCGAUGGGGAAAUUGAGACCCAGAGAGAGGGAUGACUUGCCCAAAAUCACACAGCAAACUGGUAGCAGAGGUGGAACUAGAACCCUACACCAUUUCCCAGGCCAGGGUGCUCUUCAUCUCACCUGGAUGGGGAGCAGGUAAUUUGGGGAGAACUCACUUUGAUGGGUGAGACCUGAAUUGAGGUUUCACACUGGAGCGGGGAAUGCAGGAGGAAACUGAGAGAGUGGUCAUUGCUCCAGGAUGAGGCAGGGAGGGCAAUGCUGUGCUGGGAGGCCAGACCCUUCUUUCUCCCAUCCUCAGCCCAGAUCAAGCUACUUGGAAGGACUUCACAUUUCAGGGGUUGGCUGCAUUUCUUACAUCAGCAAGUGGGCAGGGCUAAGGUCUGGGAACAGACUCAACUCUGGAAAAUACCACCCUCCCCCAUCCACCACCACCACCCAAGGGAAGGAGGAGCUGAGAAACCUCUCCUGCUCAUACACUCAGAGGGCACUGCAGAGACCCCAGAUCAACAGGAGGCCUUCUGGUGCUUGCAAUUCAGUUAGUGAAAAGGUGGAAGUGUGAUUUGCAUGAGGCUCUAGUGAUACCUGCUCAGUAGCCUGAGGCCUUCUCAGAGCUGCAUCACUUUCUGUGUAUAGAGUCCUUGUCUGCACAGGAUACCUGGCAGCCUGGCCCCUACCUGCUUGCCCAGCCCCUACCUCCAACUCCUGUUCUCUACUCACACCUGAUUUCCUCUUUCUUCCCUCUUCACCUUUGCAGGUGGCUCACUCUUGCCUGGCUCACUUCUAAUCCUUCCUAGUUAAUUUCACACAUCAAGUUUGUGAGAUGCUUUCCCUGACAACACUCCUGCGCUCACCUGACUCCCACCUCUGUGUUCCUGAAGCUCUUAGCUCCAUCUGUUUUUGUUACUUGUUUUUCAGUCUGUAGAUUUUAUUAUAGACCAGGAGUCCUCAACCUUUUUGGCACCAGGGUCUGGUUUCAUGGAAGACAGUUUUUUCCACAGACCAAGGUGGUGGUGGGCAAAUGGUUUUGGGAUGAAACUGUUCUACCUCAUAUCAUCAGGCAUUAGUUACAUUAUCAUAAGGACCACGCAACAGGCGGGGCAUGGUGGCUCACACCUUGUAAUCCCAGCACUCUGGGAGGCUGAGGUGGGUGAAUCAUUUGAGGUCAGGAGUUUGAGACCAACCUGGCCAACAUGGUGAAAUCCCGCCUCUAGUAAAAAUACAAAAAUUAGCUGGGCGUUGUAGUGGGUGCCUUUAGUCCCAGCUACCUGGGAGGCUGAGGCAGGAGAAUUCCUUGAACCCAGGAGGCAGAGGUUGCAGUGAGCCGAGAUUGCACCACUGCACUCCAGCCUGGGCAACAGAGUGAGACUCCAGUCUCAAAAAUAAAUAAAUAAAUAAAAAAUAAGGAGCACGCAACCUAGAUCCCUCACAUGCGCAGUUCACAAUAGGGUUUGUGCUCCUAUGAGAAUCUAAUGUCGCCACUGAUCUGACAGGAGGCGGAGCUCGGGUGGUAAUACUUGCUCACCCGCAGCUGACCUCCUGCUGUGUGGCCAGGUUCUUAACAGGUCACCGGUUAGGAACCAGUUAGUGGCCAGGGGGUUAGGGAUCCCUGCUUUAGACUGUGAGCUCCUUGAGAACAGGGCUCAUUUUGUGUUCAUCUUUAUCUUUCCUCUUCUGCAAAAUGGGGAUAAUAAUUGUACCUACCUCAUUGGAUUGCUGUAAGGAUUAAAAGAGAUGAUGCACAUAUAAAGCACUUAGCCUACUACCUGAAACUUUGAAAGAUCUCAAUAAAGGCCGGGCGUGGUGGCUCACGCCUGUAAUCCCAGCACUUUGGGAAGCUGAGGCAGGCAGAUCACCUGAGAUCAGGAGUUGGAAACCAGCCUGGCUAACAUGAUGAAACCCCAUCUCUAUUAAAAAUACUAAAAUUAGGCCGGGCACGGUGACUCAUGCCUGUUAUCCCAGUACUUUGGGAGGCUGAGGCGGGCAGAUCACGAGUUCAGCAGAUCGAGACUAUCCUGGCCAACAUGGUGAAACCCAGUCUCUACUAAAAAUACAAAAAUUAGCUGGGCGUGGUGGUGCAUGCCUGUAAUCCCAGCUACUCGGGUGGCUGAGGCAGGAGAAUAGCUUGAACCAGGGAGUCGGAGGUUGGAGUGAUCCAAGAUCGUGCCACCGCACUCCAGUCUGGCAACAGAGUGAGACUCCGUCUCAAAAACAAAACAAAAUACAAAAAUUAGCCAGGUGCAGUGGUGGGCACCUGUAAUCCCAGCUACUUGGGAGGCUGAGGCAGGAGAAUUGCUUGAACCCGGGAGGUGGAGGUUAAAGUGAGCCGAGAUCAUGCUACUGCACUCCAGCCUGGGCAACAGAGUGAGACUCUGUCUCAAAAAAACAAAACAAAAACAAACCAAAAAAAAACCUCAAUAAAUGUUUUGCAUCAUCAUUAUUAAUCACUCUACCUCCUGCCAGGCACAAAGCCUGACACACAGUAGGUGCUCAAUUAAUGUUAGAUAUGUGGAUAUAUUAAUGAAAGAAAAGAGGAAGGAAGAAAGGAAGGUAUGGCAUAUCUCUCUCUCUGGGACUCCCUAUAGAACUCUAGGGAGUUCAUCAGUAAAUCAUCAAUGGAAUUCUGUAUUCACUGGGAACAGAGGUUGUAGCUCAGAUCAUCAAUAGAACUACGUGUUCACUAAGAACAGAGGUUGCUUCUCUCCCAUCAGUCCCCAUCUUUGAGGGGAGGAGAACAUGUCUCCCUCUCAGACAGAGUUUAUCCGUGGUUUCUGGCUGUAGCAGUCAUUGGAUUUGUCUGUUGUUCUCUCUGCCUCAGUUUCCUCCUUUUAAAAUGGUUGUGACAAAUCAAACCAGCUUCCAGACUGAGCCCUGCCAAAGUCUUCCAGGGGCUCCACAUUGCUUGUAAGACAAAAUGCAGUUUCCCUGGCAUGAUGAGCUGAACAUGCUUACAGUUUUUGCAUGUCUCGGCCCUCUGUUGAAGGAAACCUUCCCUCCUGUGUUCCAUGUGGUCCUGACGGGGCUAUCCAAUUUGUUCCCCUCACAAUUACUCCCCAGGAGCAGACAGGCAACCAACUGGGUCAUACAUACCAUUGCAAGUUCAAGGCCCAGUGAUUGGUCCAGGCAGUGGUAAGUGACCUAAGUAGCCAGUCACCCCUUCUACAUGAUUUGACAUAUGGACUCUGAGAUUUGGGACUAUGUAGACCAUGGGACUGGCACUCUGGGACUCUGGGAGGAGCACCUCUCCUUUUGGAUCAGAAGACAAGCACACAGGCUUAGCUGUCAGAAGCCAUCUCCCUGCCACAUGGAGAGUGCUGUUUGACAUCAAAGCCCACACACAGAGGAAAACAGCCUAAAGAGAGAAAGAGACUUAAAAAUAGUGUUUGAGUCCCUGGAUCCAGCUCUGCCUGAAACUGGAACCCCUAGACUUUCCAGACAUUCAAAAAGAAAGAAAUCUCCCCUUUUGCUAAGCUAGGUUGAGGUGGAUUUCUGCUAGUUGAGUUGAAUUUCACAAAUAGCCUAGCCACAAAAGAGAAGAAUCCUGGGUCUCUGAGACCACUGAACUGCCAUACCACCCUGAACUGCCUGCACUGACUGUUAUGUAAAAGAGAAAUAAACUUUGGUCUUGUUUAGACCACUGAUGUGGGAUUGGGGGGGCCAGUCUGUCAUUCACAACUGAACCUAACCCUGCUUAAUGCACGAAAGUUUGAGAAAAUGUCCUAUAAACACGAAAGAAAGGUCUGAGGUAAUUAGCCUGGAGAAUAAAGGCUUAACACAGCCAGCAUCUCCCAAUCUCCACAGGGCUCAUCUGGGGCAGAGACACCAAGGCAAAAGAGAGCCAGAAAGGGGUAAAAAGCCUCACUUUCUGUGUCUCCAUGCAAGGAGAACAUUCUAACAGGGCUGUCUCUGAGAUGUAGUAGAUUACCUCGGUGGCUCUGAGUUCCUUGUCACUGGAAGUGCUAGAGUGGAGGCUGGGUAAUCACUGAGUAUGAAUCAUAGAGGCACCCAGGUGUAGCAAGAAGAGUUCAGGUCUUAGAGCUGGGUUCAAAUUACGCUCUUACCACUUAUUAGUCUCAGACAAAUAAUCUCUGUAAGCCUGCAUUUCCUCAUUUGUAAAGCAUCCAGAUAGCUGGGUUGGAAACGGACUAGGGAAAUUUCUUAUCCUGCUACCUCAUGGGGACUCCUGAGACCUAGUGCUCUAGCUGGAGCCCGUCAUGGAUCAGGAUGUCUCAGUGAGGUGCCUUGCCCUCCUCUCCAACCUUGACAUGUUCAGGGACACCUCCAUCCUGCCAUGAAAAUGCAUUACCCACUGGUUUGUUCCUGCAACUGCAGAGGAACAGUGGGGCCUGAGCCAAGAGGCCUGGGCCCUACUCUCUGUCUUCUCCCUGACUUCCUAUGUGACCUCAAGCAUGCCCCCGCCUCUUCCAAGGCCUCAGUUUCCUCAUCCAACAUAUGAGAAGUGUAUCUCCAUCACAGACAAUCUGGGUCUAGAAUCAGGGCUCUUAACUACUGUGCCAUACCUAUCACAACAAUAAUCAUCAUGUUACUGCCUGGCCUUGCCCUGCCCAGCCCCCUCAAGGUCUGCUGGAACAGGCUACUCCUCAUCCUCUGCCUAGGUCAGCCCAAAAUGGUGACAACUGCUACAUGAGCUGACAUCACAGGCCUGGGCAACCCAGAGGUUCCCAGUCUGCCAAGGGCCUCAUUUCCAGCCUUGAAAUUUGACUCCCCAUUAGUUACAUGAACACCUCUCACAGGGGCUCUGUGUGAUCUUUCCUCAUCCACACCUUCCUUCAAAGUUGGGGCCACUCAUAUCUGGGGGACUAGAGGCAAUGAAAUGGGAAAUCUGAAACAGUAGUGGAGCAGAUCUUACAGCAUUAUCCUAUGGUCAGAAGAAAGGAGUCACAACUGGGGACCCAGAUGGGGAGACAGCACCAUUUGGCAGGAAGCCUGGAGGCCUGAAUGGUGGAGGUCCAAAAAGCUGGUUCCCUAUACCUGCCAUGGAUGCCCAGGAUUUGGGGGCUAAAAAGGAAAAGGAGCCACCACCCUGAAUGGAUUGACAGCCACGGCACAGCACACCCCAGGGUGGGCAUGGCAAGUACCCAUGCUUCCCAAAUCCAGAGGCCAGGAUACCUUGUGAAGGGACUGGUGGCAGACUGAUGGAAAGGCCCUGGAGAAGAAGGCAGUCGGGUUUGAGAAGGUGAAAAUCUGACUGUGGUCAUCAAGGGUCCCUUUGAGAAAUAAAAGAGGACUGCUGUUGAAAGGAGCCAGUGUGACCACACAGGGGACGUAGUGCCUUGACAAAGGCUGCAUGGAAAUCCACUUCCAGGGAUUUCUCCUGCUGGUAUACCUGCACACAUAUGGUAUGACAUAUGUACAAAGUCACAUUGUGGUGCUGUUCGGAAUGUCAAAAGGUUGGAAACAACAUAAAUGUCUAUCAAGGACAGGUUAAGCAAAUAAUGAAACAUCUGAAAAAGGGACCAGUAUACUGUAAAAGUAGAAUAUAGAAGUUCUUUAUGUACUCAGCUGGAGAAAGCACCAAGAUACGUUGUUUGUUUGUUGUUUGUUUUUGUUUUUGAGACGGAGUCUCGCUCUGUCUCCCAGGAUGGAGUGCAGUGAUGUGAUCUUGGCUCACUACAACCUCCACCUCCCGGGUUCAAGCGAUUCUUCUGCCUCAGCCUCCCGAGUAAUGGGAUUACAGGCAAGUGCCACCACACCUGGCUAAUUUUGUAUUUUUUGCAGAGACAGGGUUUCACCAUGUUGGCCAGUCUGGUUUCGAACUCCUGACCUCAAGUGAUCCACCCACCUUGGCCUCCCAAAGUGCUGGGAUUGCAUGCAUGAGCCACUGCACCCAGCCAAGAUACAUUGUUGAGUGAAAAAAAAAUUUCAAGAUAUAUAGAACAGUGUAAACAUGCAUCCAAUUGUGUUUUUCAAGGAGAAAAUAAUGUAUACUUGUAUUGGUUUACGUAUGAAACAAAAAUAUCUAGAAGGAUGAAUAAAAAUCUAGUAACUGAUUAUACACUAGGGCAAAUUGGAAACAAAUGGGAGACUUCAUGGAUGACUUUUUUAUAUUUGUAAAGUGAAGUGAAUGUAUUACUUAUUCAACAAUUAAAAACUUUAAAAGAAACAGUUGGAUUAUUUCAAUAACUAAGACUGAGUGUGCAGAACAUAAGAAUAAAAACCAUUACUAUGAGCUGAACACUUUUUAUGGGCUCCAACUUGAAAAUAUGGUUGGUGGCUAUGAAUGUUGAAAGCAAGGGACGUGAAGCCAGACAUGUGAGGUGCCUGUGAGUAUCAUCUGCCUGCCCAUCAGACAGGGAAGCAGUUGAGUCUGCUAGCUAGGACCCCAGAUUUUCUGCCUUUCCUCCUUCCUGUUCUGUUCCCAUCCCUCUGUCUUUGGCUCCCUCCCUCUGUUCGUCCCAUCUAAAUUACUUUGAAAGUCUGCCAGCUGGACAGGGGUUAGGAUGGAUAGAGGAAGAAGGGAUUUCACAGGAACAGGAGCAGCAGGCCCUCCCCUCCCUCCUUUCAGAACUCCAACCCACCACCUUCAGGAAGCAUUCCUUUGUGAAGCUCACAAAACCCCAGCCCCUUCAUAACUCAAGGGAGACAGACUGAUGCCCAGGGUGGGACCUGUGUCUCCCUCAAGCAGGGUCCAGGCCUCUUGUCUCUAAGUCUCAUCAACUCCCUAAACCCCAAGUCCAGCCUCCAGAUAAGGGCAGUUCAAACCAAAGCUGCAGUAUGCCCAGCUCUGGCCAGGCUGCCCAGUGAGGGACAUAGUGGAACAGAGAAGACACAGGCGCUGUCUGGGAAGCCCCAGUCAGGCAGGGUAGAAAAUCCUCACCCAUCAUCACAAUGCUUUAGCAGUCACAAAGGCCAUCCCUACCCAGACAGAGAGGAUCGGGCACAUUCUCUAUUUCGAGGUAGACUGAGGCUGAGUCAGGAUAGAGGCUGGAAUUGGUGAGUGACCAAGGAGACCUAGCAACCCCUCAUCUCAUAAAGCAUUCUACAUACUAUAUUGUCAUCUGCCAAUAUUUGAGCUCUCUGAGCGGGGACAGUGUCUGAUACAUCUCUGAGUCCUCAGCUGGGAAAGAGCACAGGACCUGGCACAAUCAAGGGACUUGGGGAGAGGCAGUAAUUGCUAUGAAGUGCAGAGAAAGUAAAGGACUUGCCUAAGUGUUUGACCUGAGACUAGACCCCAGGUUUUCUGCCUCCAGCCCAGCCCCCUUUCCUCUGUCUCCCUCUUACAGAGUAGAUAAAUUGUCUGCACCUAGGGCCACCAACCUCACACCCAUUCCAAUUCCAUUUGCAGUGGAGCAACUACCAAAGCCUGUCAAGAGGAAGUGGGGAGGGUGAAAGAUCUGGGAGGGUUUUCUAGAGGAGGUGGGAACUGCAGCUAGUUUUCCUCUUCUGCACCAAACAAUUGGUUUCCCUGCUGGAGCAAGUGCCUUUCAGCCACCAGGGGCUCCUGCCAGCCCAAAAUAGCAUCCAAAUGGAUCCUGACUUCAUUCCAGUGAUUUCCUGCUCAAAUCAGGUGCACACGAGGUGGCCAAUAGGUGGC